CGGUUGGGGUUCGGGCUUUAGGUCAGGUUGUGGAGCGGGGUUAUUCGGAUCCGGUUGCGGUUCUGGCUUUGGAUCAGGCUGUGGUGUUGGUUUGGGUUCCGGCUUCGGGUCAGGUUGUGGCGUGGGGUUUGGAUCGGGCUGCGGUUGGGGCUUUGGGUCAGGCUGUGGUGUUGGUUUGGGUUCCGGUUUCUUGUCAGGUUGUGGCGCAGGGUUUGGAUCAGGCUGCGGUUGCGGCUUCAGGUCAGGCUGCGGUUGGGGCUUUGGGUCAGGUCGUGGUGUGAGGUUUGGAUCAGGCUGCGGUUGGGGCUUUGGAUCGGGCUGCGGUUGGGGGUUUGGGUCAGGUUGUGGUGUUGGGUUUGGAUCAGGCUGCGGUUGGGGCUUUGGGUCGGGCUGUGGUGCCGGGUUUGGAUCAGGCUGCGGUUGUGGCUUUGGGUUGGGUUGUGGUGUUGGUUUGGGAUCUGGCUUUGGGUCUGGUUGUGGUGUUGGUUUGGGAUCUGGCUUUGGAUCAG
rnacentral:lncRNA from 1 species